UAGUGCUACAGCUGCAAGGAGUUUGGCCAUAUUGCUCGCAAUUGUGGUAAGAAAUUCUGCAGUUACUGUAAGCAAAGUGGACAUAUUCUCAAGGAAUGUCCUACACGUCCGGAAAACAGGCGAGCCCAAGCUUUUCAAGCUACUGUUCCAGAUGCUCCUGUUAUUGGUCCUACAUCUACCACCAGCCAGACUGUUCUGACCCCAGAAAUGGUCCAGCAGAUGAUUCUUACUGCAUUUUCUGCCCUUGGACUUCAAGGUCAAGGACCAGAUGUCGGGGAAGGUAAUCGCGAAGGGGCCUAGAGUGGGAAGAUUAUUUCCAUUGCAAUUUACUAUUCCUAGAACUUUAUCUUUAGCCUCUAUGAUUGUUGACAAUAAGGCUGAAAUUUAGCAUAGACGAUUGGGUCAUCCAAAUAAUGUCAUUUUAUCUGAUUUAAUAAAGCGUGGUUUUCUUGGUGC